rnacentral:rRNA from 1 species
UACGUAGGGGUGCAAGCGUUGUCCGGAAUUAUUGGGCGUAAAGAGCUCGUAGGCGGUUUGUUGCGUCGGCUGUGAAAUCCCGAGGCUCAACCUCGGGUCUGCAGUCGAUACGAGCAAACUAGAGUGUUGCAGGGGAGACUGGAAUUCCUGGUGUAGCGGUGAAAUGCGCAGAUAUCAGGAGGAACACCAAUUGGCGAAGGCAGCUCGCUGGGACGUUACUGACGACUGGAGAACGCGAAAGCGUCGGGGAGCGAACAGG